rnacentral:lncRNA from 1 species
CUCUCUCCACUAGGUCAUUCAUGAUUAUUUGCUAUCUUAAUGCUAAUUCGGAUAAGUAAACCAGAAUAGAUUAAAAUUAAAAUUAAAAAUAAAAACUAAGAUAAAAUAGUCUGUUGGACUACCAAUUAAAAGUGGAAAAAAAACAAGAAAUUAAACCCAGCCGCCUGGCUGUUGGGUUCUAGAGGCUAAUGGAUUGGGAAUAACAAAAAGCAAAACAUUACUAUACACCAAUUAAUAAAAAGCAGAGGAAUACUAAACACUAAACGUAUUCAUUAAAAAAAUUUAUGGUUUAAAGCAUUUGUUUCAUUUAAAUAAAAAGGAUAAAAUAAGAAGAUGUGAAGUACAGUAACGAAAAAAAAAACCUCUCGUCGUCCUCACUUGCGUUC